CCAAGUUAAGUGAAAGGCAAGCAAGUGAGAAGAAAGAAAUUAAGAGGCCUAAACAAGGGAUGAGCAAACACACUCUGAGCUGAGAGUCGGGAAGGAGCUGGAUGCUGGCAAGGCAGAGCGGCAAGGAUGCCCGCUCCAGAUGGCAGGCAUUUAGGAGACGAGACGUCACGCCAGCGACCAACCACUUAGAGCUGGCGUUGGCUUGGUUUGUCUUUGCUUUUUUUUUUUUUUUUCCAUAAUGCAAGGCUAUUGCUGUUUUGCAAAGUGUGUGAAAAGCUUAUGGAACUCAAGUAUGGGGAAGAGGAGAGCAGUGGAGAAGAGUUUUAAAAUGGAGCAGAACUCCAGGAGGACUAGAAGAAUCUGCUCCAAGAAUAAAGCUGCUCAGAAAAGGGAAAACCAGGGACUUCUGAAUUGCUCUCCUAUCUUUGAAAAGCAGAUGGGGCUAACUUAUCCUCUGUCCAAGAAUAGGAGAAACACUUCAAUGUGGUAUCCAUAAUAAUAUUUACAAAAAAAUUAUUUCCAAGCUGUUCAGGAAUAUGAAGGACAUCAGUGACCUCCUUUCCUUAUUUAAUUACGGAUGCUGCCUUGUGACACAG